GGGACUUAGGAUUCUUCCCACUUUUGGUCUUCACCGUUGGUUCGAGAGCUUGAUACGAUGAAGUCGACUUCAAGAAUCUCUGCAUAGGGUUUUGACGUGCCUUUUGAUCUUCUUAUUAGAAAUACGAAACGUUGCCACCGAAGAACUUCUUCUAUUCUUCCAACUGCUAUGAAGAUCCAUUAAUUCCGACCAACCUCUGUUGGAGGCCGCCGUCUGUGACUAAUCGAUUUGAGCUUUAGGAGUUUGUUUCAUCGCACCGUUACGACCGCAUUCAAGCAUCACCAUUAAGGCUCACAUUAACCCCAAUCAUCUAUUCCAUUGUGUGAAUCCAAGCUAUAAUUAUAAUCCAGCGGUCGAGUUUGUGUGGGUGGUGAACGCAAUAGAAAAAGCUGUGAAGAAACGAUGCAUCAUCUCACGCUGGAGAUCAUUGGGGUUGGGAAGAAGAAGCUUUAUGAAGCAAAAGUGUGGGUGAAGCCAAGGUUGAACUUCAAGGAGUUCAAGCAUGCCGGUGAUGAUGCCCCUGCCAUUACUCCCUCCUAUCUUGGCUGCAAAUAAGGUAUUACUACAAACGGUUUAAAAUAUUUCAUAAACAGAAUAAGUAUCACUUCAGUGUUUUAACUUCAAAUUGUAUUUCCUCUUCUUUAUGAAUUAUGCAGCUUCAACGAAGCUAUGUUUGCUUCUUUUUUAAACUAUUUUAAACCGUAGAACUGGUUUGAUGCCCCGUCGUUAAGUGCAUUUUGUUAACUUAAAAAAAAUUAUGUUGAUUCUAUUUUUAGUUAUGAUUUUAAAUUGUAGUCA